UAAUAUUAUAUUUUACGGUAACACAUUUUAUAUAUUGUCAUUUUAUUAUUCAUGUCCGUUUUAUUAAUAUUAAUUCUUCAUGAAAACAUGACACGGUUUAUAGAAAAUCUAAAAUAAUGAUACAUAAUUGUAAUUUCGAAUAAUGUAUAUUCUUCAGAAUGAACAACUACAUGUAUUCGUGCAAUACCCCUAACCAUUGAAAACUUUCAAUUUAUUUUAAUCUUUUGUUACAUUUACUUUAAUUAUCGUAAUAUAUAAUUUAAUUUUUAACUAACUAUGAUUCAAAUGUCAUAUUUUACAUUCAUUUAUAGUGAAUGAAUUUUCUUAAGCCAUUCAU
rnacentral:misc_RNA from 1 species